CCUACGGGAGGCAGCAGUGGGGAAUUUUCCGCAAUGGGCGAAAGCCUGACGGAGCAAUACCGCGUGAGGGAAGACGGCCUAUGGGUUGUAAACCUCUUUUCUCAGGGAGGAACUCAAUGACGUUACCUGAGGAAUAAGCAUCGGCUAACUCCGUGCCAGCAGCCGCGGUAAGACGGAGGAUGCAAGUGUUAUCCGGAAUCACUGGGCGUAAAGCGUCUGUAGGUGGCUUAACAAGUCAACUGUUAAAUCUUGAAGCUCAACUUCGAAAUCGCAGUCGAAACUGUUAGGCUAGAGUAUAGUAGGGGUAAAGGGAAUUUCCAGUGGAGCGGUGAAAUGCGUAGAGAUUGGAAAGAACACCGAUGGCGAAGGCACUUUACUGGGCUAUUACUGACACUCAGAGACGAAAGCUAGGGUAGCAAAUGGGAUUAGAUACCCCAGUAGUCCUAGCCGUAAACAAUGGAUACUAGAUGUUGGGCAGAUCGACCUGUUCAGUAUUAAAGCUAACGCGUUAAGUAUCCCGCCUGGGAAGUAUGCGCGCAAGCGUGAAACUCAAAGGAAUUGACGG
rnacentral:rRNA from 1 species